GGCGAUGCAGCGGACGCCUGGUCAGCCGAGGCGGAGGGAGAUUUUCGGAAGGAUUUACUUGCCGAAAUGCUGCCAGAUGAGCCACGAGCCUCCACCGCAGACGAUUCGCCGCAGAACGAGAGUUUAGGCGAAUUUUGCGUUCAAGUUUUCUGAAGUUUUCUCAACAGUGGGUACAGAAAGUUGUUGCAAUUCGUCAAAUACUUGAAGAACUUUCAAGCAGAGUUACCAACCACAUAUGCAACUGAAAAUUGUGAAGUUUAUUAAAGUGACUGGCUGAGUUGGAUGAACUAUAAAAACACAUCUUAUUUAAAUAAUAAAGGAAAAAUUAAGUGAGCUGUAUGGAGUGUCAAACUUGUGGAACUGUUAUUCCCUAACAAGAGAUAAAUGGAAGGGUAAAAGAAUAAAGAGCAAAGAUUCGUCACUCUGAAGCACUUACAAUAAAGGAAACUCCAUUAACUCAAAAAUUCUACCGCAUUCAGUUCAAUGUGUGGAUUAUAUCACACGAAAAUACAAUAUUAAGGUUAGUACAGAAAUUCCAAAUACUAGCAAUGCUUGUGGUGGAAGAAAAUACAAAAAUGGACGAAAAACAAUCAGGAAUCCGAACAGAAUUGCAGAAGGGCGAGAUUAUCACCUAUUAUACUGUUGCAAAGUCCCAGAACAAGUUUGCCAAAAUUUUCAUUGUUGCAUAGUACUGCUUGCUAGAAAAAUUUGUGGCAGUGGUCUGUCAGCAUAUUCAUACAAAAUGCAACUCAUUCAACCUUUGUCGCCUAAUGAGAAAGGCUCGAGUUUACAACUGCUUUCAAUCAACUUCUGGGAAGUGACUCUGAUGUGUCGAACAACCUAUGGUUCACAGAUGAGACUCAUUCCCAUUUAAACGGAUAUACCAAUAAACAAAAUUUACGAUUAUGGGCAUUGCAGAGUCCACAUGCCGCUGUUAAUAAUCCUUUAAAUUUAGAACUGGUUACCGUGUGGUGGGAAAUAUUUUAUGUUGACAUUUUCUCUCUAGUGUUCAUUGAUAGAAACAUCAUGAAUGAAGUGUAGCUCAGGACUCUUCAGGAAGAAUGUGUUUCUUUUUUGCUUGACAUGCUUGAUGAUCCUUCAACUUGCUGAUUUCAACAGCACGAUGCAAGACCUCACGCGACAAGAAGAAGCCUCUAUUAUCUUCAUGAGAUAUUUCAUCAACUUGUGUUGUCUAACGUGUGUUGCUGGAAGGGACUUGAAUGGCCACUAAUAUCACGGGAUGUGCUGCCUCCAUGUGACUGUUUCUUGAGACAGACAGAGUGUUUAAAACAACCUGCAACUAUUCCCGAACUAGUCACUUAUCUUGGGGUGAUCCUCACAAAGUGUCUUACAGGAUUCCCACACACACAGGAUAUCAUAAAGAAGCGCCGAGUGCGUAAAGCAAAACUUUUCCACUUUUUGAUUGCUCGAAACAGUGUUCUAUCUAUAGAUAACAGGUUACUCACUUACAGAUUAUAUGUCCCAUGCUAUGUUACGCUGUCCAGUCUUGGCAUACUUCUGUAAAUCUAGCAGAAAAAUUACAAAAGGCGCAGAACUGUGUUGUGCAUCAGACCUGUAACGCACCCUGGUACGUGCGCAAUUCAUGGGGAACUAACAGUUGUUGCACUCCGUGCUUAUUAUUAUUAUUUAGCUAUAAAUUUCCCUGCCAAGAUGCCCUAUACAAUACUGAACUAAAUAUCUACAACUGUGAUUAUAGGAAUACUGCUAGUAACAAAAGUCCUAUGAUAGUACUGAACCCUAGUAUAAUUUUGGAGGAUUGAUGUAUCUUUUAUUUACUGUCUUGUAAAAAAAUCUCUAUUAUACUGUAUACACUGUAUAUAUUGUUAUUUAAUCUGGCAUCUGUAAUUCAUGCUUACCUUAUGUAUCUAUGUAUUAGUCACCAUCCGAGUACAUUACCUUACCUUAAAACAUUAUUAUAUAGAUAUAAAAAAAACUUAUACAAAUUUAUUCUUCAUUGGACUAGUUAUUCCCGGAAAUGUACUUGGAAAGUUUUAAUUUUGUUCGAUUUGGGUUGGGGCCCCGCGCCAACGUAGCCUGGUGCUAAGCACUUUUCAACUACAGUAUGAUUCCCAAACUGAAACAGUCAACAGAGGCAGAAAUUUUCGACAGUUCUGGCGACACAUUAGUUACAGUGAUGUGCAGUUUGAGUGUUAGGUUGCACAAUGUCCGUGUCAAGGAAGGGUCACACAUUGAACAUAUUGGGCUUUAAAUUCCCAAGUCUUGAUAUCAUUGCCAUGUCACUGUCUUGAACAAAUUUGAAUAAUUUCAGUGGUGUCAUAUAUUAAAAAUCAUCCAAUAUAUUCUUCUAAUAAAGACACUCUACAUUUAAAUUAAUGGUUACGCAAUGAAUCGCUAUCAAGCGAGCUUCCAGCAUCUAUUUGUUGUACAUUUCAUUCCACCUUCGGGCGGGGAGAGGGUAUUAAA